CCUACGGGAGGCAGCAGUGAGGAAUAUUGGUCAAUGGACGAGAGUCUGAACCAGUCAAGUAGCGUGAAGGAUGACUGCCCUAUGGGUUGUAAACUUCUUUUAUAUGGGAAUAAAACGUUCCACGUGUGGGAUUUUGUAUGUACCAUAUGAAUAAGGAUCGGCUAACUCCGUGCCAGCAGCCGCGGUAAUACGGAGGAUCCGAGCGUUAUCCGGAUUUAUUGGGUUUAAAGGGAGCGUAGGUGGAUUGUUAAGUCAGUUGUGAAAGUUUGCGGCUCAACCGUAAAAUUGCAGUUGAAACUGGCAGUCUUGAGUACAGUAGAGGUGGGCGGAAUUCGUGGUGUAGCGGUGAAAUGCUUAGAUAUCACAAAGAACUCCGAUUGCGAAGGCAGUUCACUGGACUGCAACUGACACUGAGGCUCGAAAGUGUGGGUAUCAAACAGGAUUAGAUACCCGGGUAGUC
rnacentral:rRNA from 1 species